UACGUAGGUGGCUAGCGUUGUCCGGAUUUACUGGGCGUAAAGAGCGCGCAGGCGGUCGUUCAAGUCGAGUGUGAAAGCCCCCGGCUCAACUGGGGGAUGUCGUGCGAUACGGGCGGACUGGAGGCCAGUAGGGGGAUGCGGAAUUCCGGGUGUAGUGGUGGAAUGCGUAGAGAUCCGGAGGAACACCAGCGGCGAAGGCGGCAUCCUGGACUGGUCCUGACACUCAGGAGCGAAAGCGUGGGGAGCGAUCCGG
rnacentral:rRNA from 1 species